rnacentral:rRNA from 1 species
UAGGGAAUCUUCGGCAAUGGGGGGAACCCUGACCGAGCAACGCCGCGUGAGUGAAGAAGGUUUUCGGAUCGUAAAGCUCUGUUGUUAAGGAAGAACGAGUGUGAGAAUGGAAAGUUCAUGCUGUGACGGUACUUAACCAGAAAGGGACGGCUAACUACGUGCCAGCAGCCGCGGUAAUACGUAGGUCCCGAGCGUUGUCCGGAGUUAUUGGGCGUAAAGCGAGCGCAGGCGGUUAGAAAAGUCUGAAGUGAAAGGCAGUGGCUCAACCAUUGUAGGCUUUGGAAACUGUUUAACUGGAGUGCAGAAGGGGAGGGUGGAAUUCCAUGUGUAGCGGUGAAAUGCGUAGAUAUAUGGAGGAACACCGGUGGCGAAAGCGGCUCUCUGGUCUGUAACUGACGCUGAGGCUCGAAAGCGUGGGGAGCGAACAGG